UACAGAGGGUGCGAGCGUUUAAUCGGAAUUACUGGGCGUAAAGCGUGCGCAGACGGUUGCGUAAGUCAGAUGUGAAAGCCCCCGGGCUCAACCUGGGGAAUUGCAUUUGAGACUGCGUAGCUAGGGUGCGGAAGAGGGAAGCGGAAUUUCCGGUGUAGCGGUGAAAUGCGUAGAUAUCGGAAGGAACACCAGUGGCGAAAAGCGGCUUCUUUGGGGCCAUUUCUGACGCUGAGGCGCGAAAGCUAGGGGAGCGAACGGG
rnacentral:rRNA from 1 species